rnacentral:rRNA from 1 species
GACAGAGGGUGCAAACGUUGCUCGGAAUUACUGGGCGUAAAGCGCGUGUAGGCGGAUCGGUAAGUCGGACGUGAAAUCCCCGGGCUCAACCCAGGAACUGCGCUCGAAACUACCGACCUUGAGUGAUGGAGAGGAUAGUGGAAUUCUCGGUGUAGAGGUGAAAUUCGUAGAUAUCGAGAGGAACACCAGUGGCGAAGGCGGCUAUCUGGACAUCAACUGACGCUGAGACGCGAAAGCGUGGGGAGCAAACAGG